rnacentral:snoRNA from 1 species
CCAAGUGAUGAUCCAAGGCGAAUGUGACUCCCUUUUUCUUUGGGUUAUGAUCUCUGACCUGUGCACUUGGUCUGUAAUCUUGGUGGUUGUGUAGAAGCUUCUCGCUACCGCUGUAAGGCCAGACCAACAGUAGCUUUUGUGGCUGGUCUCUCUGACGCUAUUGUCAGCUCACUGCAGAUUUGGUGUGCUGAAAUCAGAGUGACCUACAGGAUCAAUCCGUACCUAGUGUGCAGGUCUAUGACGUAACUUCUUUGAGGUUAAAAGGAGGUAUGAGCACAUAUCUUUGGUAAUCUGAUG